rnacentral:rRNA from 2 species
UUUAUGGAGAGUUUGAUCCUGGCUCAGGAUGAACGCUGGCGGCGUGCCUAAUACAUGCAAGUCGAGCGAACG